UGUUUCGGCAAGGGGGUCAUCCCGACUUACCAACCCGAUGCAAACUGCGAAUACCGGAGAAUGUUAUCACGGGAGACACACGGCGGGUGCUAACGUCCGUCGUGAAGAGGGAAACAACCCAGACCGCCAGCUAAGGUCCCAAAGUCAUGGUUAAGUGGGAAACGAUGUGGGAAGGCCCAGACAGCCAGGAUGUUGGCUUAGAAGCAGCCAUCAUUUAAAGAAAGCGUAAUAGCUCACUGGUCGAGUCGGCCUGCGCGGAAGAUGUAACGGGGCUAAACCAUGCACCGAAGCUGCGGCAGCGACACUAUGUGUUGUUGGGUAGGGGAGCGUUCUGUAAGCCUGUGAAGGUGUGCUGUGAGGCAUGCUGGAGGUAUCAGAAGUGCGAAUGCUGACAUAAGUAACGAUAAAGCGGGUGAAAAGCCCGCUCGCCGGAAGACCAAGGGUUCCUGUCCAACGUUAAUCGGGGCAGGGUGAGUCGACCCCUAAGGCGAGGCCGAAAGGCGUAGUCGAUGGGAAACAGGUUAAUAUUCCUGUACUUGGUGUUACUGCGAAGGGGGGACGGAGAAGGCUAUGUUGGCCGGGCGACGGUUGUCCCGGUUUAAGCGUGUAGGCUGGUUUUCCAGGCAAAUCCGGAAAAUCAAGGCUGAGGCGUGAUGACGAGGCACUACGGUGCUGAAGCAACAAAUGCCCUGCUUCCAGGAAAAGCCUCUAAGCAUCAGGUAACAUCAAAUCGUACCCCAAACCGACACAGGUGGUCAGGUAGAGAAUACCAAGGCGCUUGAGAGAACUCGGGUGAAGGAACUAGGCAAAAUGGUGCCGUAACUUCGGGAGAAGGCACGC
rnacentral:rRNA from 1 species